GCGUGGUAGGAACACGCGUGUCUGCUGGAAUCCACAGUGUGCCGAUAACAAAAAGUUUGAUGUUAUUGCUGCUUCCUUAGCUAGAAGACACAAUGACGUUGCACUCAAUGUUUUUUUUCUAACUUUAUUGAGAAAUUUGCACAACACAACGACUUGAAAGUAGCACAGUGUCUUAAAUAAAGUCAUGUAUCUGUUUUUUAUCUCGGCAAUUUUCUUCCUUGGCUGAAUUUAUAAAUUAACAUAAAGGGAUUCUGUAUUUAAUCAUAUAGAAUGAAACUGGUCAUUGGGCCAAUGUUUCGAUAACUUUCCACAGCCAGUCUGACUAAUCAAAGCGAACAACGUGUGUGUACGUACACAGACUCAUUUCAUUAAGCACUCACUGGAAAAUGGGUUCUCGGUUUAUUUAUUUACCUUUUUUAGCAUCCAAGAGUGACACGUAUAUUAUACAUACAUGGCAUGUUCAUAUCAUAUAAACGGUAUGUCAGUGAUUCACAUGUAGCACUCGUGAGCGGUCUGAUUCAAUCCAUGGCCACCUUUCACAGAGAUAAAGAGAUUCAUAGCAGUGUAUUUUCCCUCUUGAUCUCAUAGAAACGUGUGUUUUAAAUAUAAUACUAACUACUACAUUUUCCAACAUGCCUCGAGUCUUCAGUGACAGAACAUAAAGUUGUAAAAGAUACUCAUUUACAUGACAUUCGCAUAUGGAUGAGGAGGCGGGUCCAUGCCGCUACAUGCCGUUCUGAAAUUGGUCUGUGCCAUUCUGAGUAAGAAAGCAGCCACCUGUCACUUUUGUCGAUCUCGGCGUUACUGGACAUUCCCUCUCUCACCUCUUGCACAAGCAUUGACUUCUCGGUAGUUAACUUUAAACCUCAUCGAAUGAACCCGUGUUCUGCUCUCUGUUGAUCCAAAUCCCCGUAUACGUCAGAUUAAAAGUACUUGCAGGAGUGGCCACCAUUUCUCAACAAAAGUCGCCAUUGGGUAAUUCAUUUCUUUAAGGUGUGUUGUUGUCAUGGCAGCAUAGCCAGGCCCAGGUGUCUGACUAUUCAGACUAUUACGACACAUUACUGAUGACUGCAUCCCUUUAGCCCAGUCAUACCUUAUCAUUACACUAUAAGGGAGAGUCCAAAUGAACAAGACUUCACAGGACCUUGAUGACCUCUAAAAAAAAUGCUCUGUACUGAAAGACGUCACUUUUCCUGUUGGGAUCCGUAUACGCGUGCUGAUUGCUACACUAUUUCCUCAUGUUGAAGUUGUCGUAUUUGACAAAGUGACACACCGUCUAUCCACAAUGGAAUAUGGUCAGGGCGGAGUUUGGAUUUUUGAGCAGGAGAUACAAGACACAUUCUAAUUCAAGCGGCAUAGUGGGUGGAUUUAACUUUUAAGUAAGUUGUAUUAAACAAAUGCUCAGGCUGUCGUCCAAAUCUGCUAAAUGAGUCUAAUAAUUAAAAUAAUCACUUCAUCAAAUGGCUGGCCAAAGUGUGCAGUCUCUCCAGGAAAACAAACAAAAACCAGAGGGGCCAAAUGAAGUGAGUUUGUUUAUGAACUAAAGUAUAUGUGUGUGUGUGUGUGUGUGUGUGUGUGUGUGUGUGUGUGUGUGUGUGUGUGUGUGUGUGUGUGUGUGUACGAGAUGGCGUCCAGUUACAAUCUCUAUCUCACACACAGGAAACCUGAGGACCGUUUGGGUCAUCCUUUUACCAGCAGACUCUGUAGCGUUUAAGCCAGUACUCGGUGAAACUCCAUCCCUGCAGGUUUAAUAUUUAAAGACUGCUCAGGAUCAAUGCGUUCUUUGCGUUCCCGGUCAGAAGAAGCUCUCAGACCAGAGUGAAUCACACCGAUGGGAUCAGACCAGAUCUUGGACAAUAUUGCAUAUUUUCCAACACUAAGACCAAAAACAAGAGCAGCCAACUCCUAGUUAUAUACACAAUGUAUGUGAACUCAUCUGGAGCAGAGAAUGGAUCUUAUUCACUGACCUUCCUGGGAAAGAAAGUAGGGAGACAUCACUCUGUGGCCCCCGCAGGCAAGCAAAACGCCUGGGCGACAACAGACAGGUCUGACUGCCAUGACGGCCCAGUGUCCUCCUCUCGGCCUGGACGGGCCCCCGUCACAGCCCACGUGCAGGAGGAUUUACCGGGCAGCAUUCCAGAGCUGAAGGACGAGUCUGCAAUAGUUGACAACACUCAGCUCGAGCAGCACACGGGCAGCACUGCAGGUGUUUCUGAGAAAAAAGUCGCAGCGUGACGGCACACCCACAUUCCUGUCUGAGGCAACGCAGAGGGGGGAGGGAGGGACCGAGGGGAAUGUAAGAGACAACUGUGUUGAAAUAUUCAUAGCAGGGGCAUUUUAUGGAAUUUCCAUUUUUUUUAAUUAACCUGGUCACGCUAGUGAAUUAACAUGAAAACCAAAACCAAAACCAAAAACAUUUGACCAUGACCAAUUUAAAAUUCAAUCACAGAAUAAAUUGCACUCAAAUCUCUCAUCAUCAUAAUAAUGUAAAACAUGUUCUAAAUACUAUAAAUAAAAUGUAAAUGGUUUAA